rnacentral:lncRNA from 1 species
GGGAGCCUCCGUGAUGGUCCAGUCUGAACUAGCAUCAUGGUGGAGUGUAAUGAGGAGAAAUACAGAAUACCAUUUCGCAGAAAUCUGAGGCCUCUUCUAGGUACUGACUUAUGCUUUUGACACAAAUGAAAAAGUGAUUCAAGUGGAAAAGCUUGGUGCUAAAGCACAGAACAAUGUGACUUCUGCUGUGUUAAAAGGAUGAGCUGUGGAAGAUAACCUGUCUGACAGGUGAGUGUGGAGUUACUUGUCAGUUCACAAGGUUUCCUUGCAACUGUGUGUUAACUUGGUAUGACUGUAGAACAUUGAAACACCUCAGUCAGUGUGGAAAUAGUAAUCUGGUAGCAGAGACUGCUGGGCAGUGAUUACCCAGUAUCUGAGCAGGUUGUGUGUCUGGGAGCCAUUCUUGUGUGUAUAAAUACUUGAAAUGGAUGUCACAGUUGUGCAGCAAUUUGUAGCACUAGUUUCUGAAUCAGACUGCUCUUGGUCGCGAGGAACUGCUCUGCACUUGGAGCUUUUAACAGAUUUUAGGCUUGUUGGUGUACACAGCUUGGCAGGAUUAAUUGGUCCUUAACAAGAAAGGAGAACCUGAAUAUCAGUGUAAGUUGGUGGUAGCAGCAGUGAGAGCCAAGUACCUGGUCAUUACCAAGGCUGCUGGGAUGUUGCUGUUUCUGGUGAGCUGUGGACAUGACCGUAAAGCAAGUAAGUCCAGCAGACUCUUCCAUUGCCACAUGAUGUGGCACAAAGUCUGCUGGGAAUAAAGCUUUAGUGUGGGUCAGACACAGCGCUCCCUCCUGCUGCUUCGAUGACAGCAGGUUCCUGCUGUUUCUGAAGUGACCUUCAAUUUACAUCCAACUUUGUUGUUAACGCUUUGCUUACACUAACCAAAUCUGACUUGAACCCGUAGCUGCAGCAUGUCAGAGGGCUGAGAAACACCAUCUGAGUGCCACCAGAGUGAGUCUGAAGGUCCUGGUGAGGUUGCUGUGAGUGCUGCAAGGAAGAUCUAGAGAGCUCUUUCAAACACAACCUUAU